rnacentral:rRNA from 1 species
UACGGAGGAUGCAAGCGUUAUCCGGAAUGAUUGGGCGUAAAGCGUCCGCAGGUGGCUGUGUAAGUCUGCUGUCAAAGAGCGAAGCUCAACUUCGUAAAGGCAGUGGAAACUACACGGCUAGAGUGCGUUCGGGGCAGAGGGAAUUCCUGGUGUAGCGGUGAAAUGCGUAGAGAUCAGGAAGAACACCCGUGGCUAAGGCGGCUCUCUAGUACGUGACUGACGCUGAGACGCGAAAGCGUGGGGAGCGAACAGG